rnacentral:misc_RNA from 1 species
AAUAAUAAUAAUAAUAAUCUCAAAAAAAUGCUAUAUAUGAAUCAAAUGGCUAUUCGUAAGUCGUAACCCCUUCGCAGAAGGCCAGAGAAGAAGCUCUCUCAGAAAUUCAUCAUCUUUCCUCUAUCCAUCCUUUGAAGGAUGAGGGCUGCAUACUGUGAUCAUCUGCUUCACACUCGUAUCUACUUAUCGUCUCCUACAAUCCCUCACCAACAAAAUCUGCGUGUCGGCUUCUCCGUCUCUAAAGCAGCAGAACAGAAUCGGGAUGGUCGGACUCGGAGAUUGGUGCAUGCUUCUUGCGGUGCAAUCAGAGCCGUAUAUGGAGCUCAGCUAUCGCCCUGGGAUGAGAAACCUUAUGAGAUUCUGCCAAGUGGGAAAAAGGCCUACUUGGAUGAGCAAGAUGUGGUGACAUUUCUUGAUCCUCCAAAAGAAUUGAUUCCUCUCGACCCUGGGUCUUACAAUCCAGCUGCAUAUCUAUGGAAAAAAAUUGAAGACAUUCUGGAAGAAAGGCGUCCUAGAUUGCUGACCUUGCUAAAACCUAGGCUUAUAUCAAGAGCUUGGCAGAUAGCUGGCACCCGCUAUGAGGAUCCUCAGUUAGCUAGGAAAUGUGCAUCCAACUUGUUAUGUUCUGAAGAAAAGGAACCAUCACUAGAAUUCUAUAAUUGCCAAAGCAGUGGAGGACCUUGGCCUAUUGCUUGGAUGAAAUCCUUCAAGAAGGCUAUAUUCCAUUGUGAUAAUGGAAAGACUUAUGGGAGAUUGAUUGGUGGGUCACCUCUGGCGCAAAUUACAAAUACCUGUAGUCCAUUGUAUUUUAUGGUAGUGCAAUGUGGGGAAGUAAUGUCAACAGAGCAGCCUUGUGAUCUAGCAUAUGAAUUGGGGGAUGGGCACCUGAAUCUCCAUAACUAUCCUCAAGGUUUUCCAAUACCAGGUGGGAUUUGUGUAUGACAUUUAAGUCAAUGUGUCGACUGAGAUUAUAGCAGUUUAUGCAGGUGCUUCUUAUUGUUUUCUUGUGGCAAAGUUGCAAGAAUUUCUCUUCGUCAUUUCUCCCUGCUUUGUUGACUUGACAAGAUGAUGCUGAUUUUGCAUUUUCAUUCAACAAGAUCAUAAUUCUGCAAAGCAUCCAUAUCCAUUCUAUGAUCAGGUUGUUAUAUAUGUUCGUCAUGUUGGACCUGGGGUGUCAGUGGCGCAAGCAUGGCAAGAAGGAAAGGAAUUACAGCAAGUGCCUAGGAAGCUAUGCGGGGAGAUUUUAAUGGUUAAAGAUUAUGCUGCAUCUGCAGUAGGUCGCUGAAGAAAUCUCCUGUCUUUCCUGUUUUCACUACUAUGCUGAUUCGUUGCAAAAUUUUCCGAGUAUACAAGUAGAGAAUUACUUGAAGACAUGCAUGGCAAGGUUUUGAAAUGGACAUGUUUCCUGCCAAGGCUUUGAAAGACAUGUUCAGCAUAAACUAGGAAGGGGAAUAGCUCGACAUAUUUGAAUGUCUUCCUGGAUUAGAUGUGAAAACUGUGCAGUCAAAAGAUCUAUUUUCCCCAAAAUCUACAUCCAUUUGUCACCGAAGGUCAUCAUUUUUGGAGUGGACAUUUAUGCCUCUCGUAGAUACGGUGGUGGACAUUUGCCUAAAUGUUUGUGGUGAAUAAUUUUUAAAACACAUGACUGAUGGAAGUAGUGAAGGUUAAAAUGAGCCUCUGAAGGCCAGUUGGCUGCUCAGCUCGUAUCUAUCAUCAUCGUCAUUCCUUGGAGUCAAUAAAUUGUUCCUUCCAGCUUUCUGGGUGCACAAGGAUUGCAAGGAAUUCUUUUAAAAUAUCCAUAUGUCGUCUGCAUCCCGCUGGUUUUCAUAACAGAUAACUCUCUGCUACUUGGAUUCCUUUCACCAAAUUAAUACUUGAUCAGCUCUCGCAUUUGGGGCUUCAUCUUGGCUUUGGUUGAUUUCAUUUAAAAUCACAAUAUCUAUUUUAACUGUUGAUAUAUGCAAAACCAAUAACCAAUAUCUAACAUUCUGUCGCCAGGCAAUAAUAGGUUACCAAUAUCACAACUGCCUGUCUUAAACACUGGUCACAAAACUAAGAUACCUAACAUUUAAAGGUUUGUUCCAUGAUCAAAACGAAUUGAUCACAAUAGAUUAAAAAUCUUUGAUACCUCAAAG